rfam:Hordeum vulgare subsp. vulgare, WGS project CAJW01000000 data, contig: morex_contig_129301
ACGGUACUCCCUCCGUCCGGAAAUACUUGUUGGAGAAAUGGAUGUAACUAGACGUAUUUUGGUUCUAGAUACAUCCAUUUUUAUCCAUUUAUGCGACAAGUAAUUUCGGACGAAGAGUAGUAUUUU